AACUUCCCAUGGGGUGCGUGGGUUACCUUCUCUUCCUGGCUAUUGCUCUGGUCAGUGCCCAGUGCCUGAGAGCUUGCAAGCACAGGAGGACCAGCCCUGCCCUGGGGCCAGGUAUGCCACCUGGUGUAAGAGAGGAAAAACCUCCUAGUCCAGCUCAGAGCCAGCCCUGAUAAAUCCCAGUGCCAACGCUGGUGACAGGAAUUUCUGCUUCUGAUUAAGACGGAGUAACACAGACUGGAUUUACCCUUCCAUCGGAAAUAACACCAAAAGGCAAAAAGCAAAAUGUGGCCUUCAAGACAUUGCUCAUGAGGCAACGAUAAGCAGUGAUCCCUGAGAGACGGGAAGAAAAACAAGGCAUCACUUCCCAGCGAGUAUUUGUACUUCUUACUCCAUCACAGUGUGUGCUUCCUGAAGGACAAACGCUGGCACAGGAGGUGCUGCCACCGGAGCUUCGCUGUUCUGCGAUCCAACAUCCGUGUUGUUGCCAAGGAGACGGGUUCUACAGUACCUUCUCCUCCCGUCAAUCCAAGCCGACAGAGGACGGCCACUGUUGGGCUCUUCAGUGAUGCUACUGCCUUCCCUAGUCAUCUCAUGCUGAGAUGUGAACUUAGUUUGGGGUCUGGUGGUGAGGAGAGGAGGUAUCUCAUUCUCAAAACCUGCACUUCUUUCUAGUCUGGAGCAGUGGAGAAUGCUGGGUCUCAAGACAGGUGAUGCCUUCAAGGAAAAUGCACCCAGGUAAGAAAAGGACCUGAGGAUCGGAAACUUGCUUUGGGCCUCGAGGCUGGUUUGUGGCAAUCCUGUUUGAUCAAUCUACUGUUGCCAUUUUCCCAACAGCAU